ACAUUUUCAGUGCAUUAAAGGUUACAGGUCGGAUUUCUUAGAAGAACCCGGUCGGUUCCCGAUCGGGCAUCACCCGACCGGCGUCGUCG